AAGCUCAAGAUGAUCCAUGAGUUUCUCUUGUCCUUCAUUCCACCGGAGUCUGUCUCAUAUCUAAUCAGAUUUCAGUGGAGUGAAGCUUAAGAGGCAUGGAGUUGACUCAGCACAGCAGCCACUUCAAGAUUAACUCUGACACAAGAAAAG
ensembl:miRNA sha-mir-205 sha-mir-205